rnacentral:rRNA from 1 species
UACGUAGGGGGCUAGCGUUGUCCGGAAUCAUUGGGCGUAAAGAGCGCGUAGGCUGCUCGGUGAGUCCGCUGUAAGAGUCAAAGGCUUAACCUUUGAAUGUCAGUGGAAACUGCCGGGCUAGAGUCCGGAAGAGGCGAGUGGAAUUCCUGGUGUAGCGGUGGAAUGCGCAGAUAUCAGGAGGAACACCAACGGCGAAGGCAGCUCGCUGGGACGGUACUGACGCUGAGGCGCGAAAGCGUGGGGAGCGAACAGG